AGGGCAAGUCUGGUGCCAGCAGCCGCGGUAAUUCCAGCUCCAAUAGCGUAUAUUAAAGUUGUUGCAGUUAAAAAGCUCGUAGUUGAAUUUCGGGAUCAAUCUAUCGGUCGUGCAAUAGUACGUACUGAUUUUAUUGAUUCCUCCCUUCUGAUGAACUAUGAUGUCAUUAAUUUGGUGUCAUAGGGAAUCAGGACUGCUACUUUGAAAAAAUUAGAGUGUUUAAAGCAGGCUCACGCUUGAAUACAUUAGCAUGGAAUAACGAAAUAGGACGUUUGAUUCUAUUUUGUUGGUUUCUAGGAUCGACGUAAUGAUUAAUAGGGAUAGUUGGGGGCAUUAGUAUUCAAUUGUCAGAGGUGAAAUUCUUGGAUUUAUUGAAGACUAACUACUGCGAAAGCAUUUGCCAAGGAUGUUUUCAUUAAUCAAGAACGAAAGUUAGGGGAUCGAAGACGAUCAGAUACCGUCGUAGUCUUAACCAUAAACUAUGCCGACUAGGGAUCGGAUGAUGUUAAUUUUUUAAUGACUCAUUCGGCGCCUUACGGGAA
rnacentral:rRNA from 1 species